CACGUAGUUAGCCGUGGCUUCCUCCUCAGGUACCGUCAUUAUCGUCCCUGAAGACAGAGCUUUACAAUCCGAAGACCUUCAUCACUCACGCGGCGUUGCUGCAUCAGGGUUUCCCCCAUUGUGCAAUAUUCCCCACUGCUGCCUCCCGUAGGAGUCUGGGCCGUGUCUCAGUCCCAAUGUGGCCGAUCACCCUCUCAGGUCGGCUACGCAUCGUCGCCUUGGUGAGCCGUUACCUCACCAACUAGCUAAUGCGCCGCGGACCCAUCUCAUAGCAGAUUGCUCCUUUAAUCAUUAAAUGAUGCCACUCAAUGAUAUUAUGCGGUAUUAAUCUCCCUUUCGGGAGGCUAUUCCCCCUCUAUGAGGCAGGUUGCCCACGUGUUACUCACCCGUCCGCCGCUAGAUUGUUCCCGAAGGAACUCUCUCGCUCGACUUGCAUGUGUUAAGCACGCCGCAGCGUUCAUCCUGAGCCAGGAUCAAA
rnacentral:rRNA from 1 species